UACGUAGGGGGCAAGCGUUGUCCGGAAUUAUUGGGCGUAAAGCGCGCGCAGGCGGUCAAUGAAGUGGGGUGUGAAAGCCCGGGGCUCAACCCCGGGACGCCGCUUCAAACUGGCGGGCUUGAGGACGGAAGAGGGGAGUGGAAUUCCUGGUGUAGCGGUGAAAUGCGUAGAGAUCAGGAGGAACACCCGUGGCGAAGGCGGCUCCCUGGUCCGUCCCUGACGCUGAGACGCGAAAGCGCGGGGAGCGAACGGG
rnacentral:rRNA from 1 species